AAUAGCAUAAUAGAGAUACAAUCAAAGAUCAUUAAGCUUUGUGAAAAUCAUAAGCAUUGACAAGGCAUUCGUAACUAUGAACAGCAUGAUACUCCUACCAGGAAUUUACUUAACACGAUUGUGACUAGCAAUCUCCACUACUUAUGAAUAUAAGUUCAUAACAAUUAGGUGAAACUCCCUUAUAUUCUAACAUCAAAUUCAUGCAUGCAAACUAAGUAUGCAUCCUUAAUCAACAAACAAGAAUAAGUUCUGAAUCAAACAGUUAAGUAAAUUGCAUUCACGAUUUAUGAAAUCACAACUGGAAGUAAUCAAUUCAUAUUGCAAAUAUGUUCAUGGCUUUGAAUUUUCCUCUAGCUAAAAUGAGUUUAGCUCCUUAUGUUCGCAAAACAAAGAUAACUUAAAUUAAACAUUGGAAACAAAAGAUGGAUUACACCUAAAAACGUUCCAGCAAUCCAAGUUUGAAUGGCAAGAACAUCGAAGGGUCCUCCUUCUUCUUCUUUGCUGCGGCACUAGGUGUGGGUGAAGGUUUGAGUGAUGAAUUAUAUGAAAGAAUGGCUGAAAGUAUGAAUAGUAGUGAAUGGAUCAUCCUCAAGGUUGCGGCAAGGCUUAAUAUAUAUAGGGAAAUAGAGUUAAAACCCUAAUAGUUUUUUGGGACAGAUUUGUACACCAAAUCCUAAAAAAAAAAGGGUAAUUAAAUGUCAGAAUCCAAGAGGAAAAGGGUAAGAAGGGUGCGGCAAGGAAA
rnacentral:lncRNA from 1 species